GAGUGCUACAGCUCUUUUAGAAUUUGCCUAGCAGGUUUCCUGGUCUUCACUGGAAAGUGCCCCC